GCGCGCAAAUUACCCAAUCCCAAUACGGGGAGGUAGUGACAAUACAUAACAAUACCGGGCUUUUUCAAGUCUGGUAAUUGGAAUGAGUACAACGCUAACACCUUAACGAGGAUCAAUUGGAGGGCAAGUCUGGUGCCAGCAGCCGCGGUAAUUCCAGCUCCAAGAGCGUAUAUUUAAGUUGCUGCAGUUAAGAAGCUCGUAGUUGGAUUUCGAGCGGAUGCUGCCGGUACGCCCUUUGGGUGUGCACCGGUUGCGCCCGUCCUGCUGCCGGGGACGGGUGCCUGGGCUUCACUGUCCGGGUCCUGGAGUCGGUGAGGUUACUUUGAGUAAAUUAGUGUGUUCAAAGCAGGCCUACGCUCUGAAUACAUUAGCAUGGAAUAACACGAUAGGACUCUGGCCUAUCCCGUUGGUCUGUGGGACCGGAGUAAUGAUUAAGAGGGACAGUCGGGG
rnacentral:rRNA from 1 species